CUCAUCUUGGUUUAAAAAGACCGGCUACCUAGGUAGCUGAAAUUUAGUCACAGAAUCCUUCUGUAUUCAAUCUUGGGACAUCUCACCUACUAGCUCAAGAGAAAUACCAGAUGGCCCUCACCGGAGUCUUGUGGGCAUUUGCAUUUGUAUGCAUCACGCUGUGUCAGGCAGGGAAGAUUUACUCUGUCGGAGGUUUGUCGGUUCGCAAUCUCAACCACCAAGAUAAACUAACGUGGCUCGAAACAUUACAGGAGAAAAGGGUAACCACCGACGACAAAUACCACCUUGCCUGGCUGCUAUACAAGCUUUUAAAGUCACACAGCAACCAGUUCAAAUCAAACUUUGUCCCUCCUGGACCAGAGAGUGGCGGGAUACAGGAGAAUAGGCGCGAGACUACGCCGCAGAAGGACAAGCGCGUUCGCAAAGCCGGAUGCAGAAUGUUCUUUUGGAAGUCAUGGACCGCAUGCUAACAGACUUGUCUACCUUUUACUCCAAAAACAGAUGGUUUUCCAAUCGAGAGCCUUCAUUCCAAAUCAGCUUACCAACGUUUUUCCGCAAUUAUUAAUGUAACUUCUUAUUUUUAUGAAUGGUAACUUAUCAACUUAUUGACGUGGUUGUGAGGCUAUAUAUGUCAAGUUGUAAUAAAAUGUGAGUUAUUUAUUCA